CUGUGGCAAAGCUAAACAAAAGAGUAUAUCGUGCGUGAGCCAUAGAAAAGUUUUCGUGUCAGUGAAUUUAAUCAGCAGAAAACGCAAGCACACCACAAAUUUUAAUAAAAUAUUUAUCUAUGAAUGUAAGAAGCGUUCGAAAACAAGCAGCUAGUAAUGGUGG